GGACGUACCUCUGGAGAGACUCAUAAGAGCACCGAAGGGGAAAGCCGGAAACGGCGAAACUCUCAGGUAAAAGGACAGGGGAUUUUAA
rnacentral:ncRNA from 2 species